GAAAUGCGAUAAGUAAUGUGAAUUGCAGAAUUCAGUGAAUCAUCGAAUCUUUGAACGCACCUUGCGCUCCUUGGUAUUCCGAGGAGCAUGCCUGUUUGAGUGUCAUUCAACUUCUCAACCACAUCAUCGCGAUGUGGCUUGGAUGGUGGGGGUUUUUGCAGGCCCUUUCUUGUCUGUCUGCUCCCCUGAAACGCAUUAGCGGUAUCUGAGCUGCUGCUGUAGGCGUGAUAAAUCUAUCUAUGCCUUUGGUAUGCUGCAUGAACGGAUUGCGCCGCUUCCAACGCAUCAUGUAAAAUAACCUGACGAAUUUGACCUCAAAUCAGGUAGGACUACCCGCUGAACUUAA
rnacentral:misc_RNA from 1 species